rnacentral:rRNA from 1 species
UACGGAGGGUGCAAGCGUUGCCCGGAUUUAUUGGGUUUAAAGGGUGCGUAGGCGGCCCGUUAAGUCAGUGGUGAAAGCCUCCAGCUCAACUGGAGAACUGCCAUUGAUACUGGCGGGCUUGAGUACAGACGAGGUUGGCGGAAUUGAUUGUGUAGCGGUGAAAUGCAUAGAUACAAUCAAGAACACCGAUUGCGUAGGCAGCUAACUAGGCUGUAACUGACGCUGAGGCACGAAAGCGUGGGGAGCGAACAGG